rnacentral:tRNA from 1 species
GUGGGUAUAGCUCAGUGGUAGAGCAAAUGCUUAGCAUGCAUGAGGUUGUGGGUUCUAUCCCCAGUACCUCCA